CCAGCAGCCGGGGUAAUACGUAGGUGGCAAGCGUUGUCCGAAUUAUUGGGCGUAAAGGGGGCGCAGGCGGUUUUUUUAAUUUUGAUGUGAAAGCCCCCGGCUCAACCGGGGAGGGUCAUUGGAAACUGGGGAACUUGAGUGCAGAAGAGGAGAGUGGAAUUCCACGUGUAGCGGUGAAAUGCGUAGAGAUGUGGAGGAACACCAGUGGCGAAGGCGACUCUCUGGUCUGUAACUGACGCUGAGGCGCGAAAGCGUGGGGAGCGAACAGGAUUAGAUACCCUGGUAGUCCACGCCGUAAACGAUGAGUGCUAAGUGUUAGAGGGUUUCCGCCCUUUAGUGCUGCAGCAAACGCAUUAAGCACUCCGCCUGGGGAGUACGGUCGCAAGACUGAAACUCAAAGGAAUUGACGGGGGCCCGCACAAGCGGUGGAGCAUGUGGUUUAAUUCGAAGCAACGCGAAGAACCUUACCAGGUCUUGACAUCCUCUGACAACCCUAGAGAUAGGGCUUCCCCUUCGGGGGCAGAGUGACAGGUGGUGCAUGGUUGUCGUCAGCUCGUGUCGUGAGAUGUUGGGUUAAGUCCCGCAACGAGCGCAACCCUUGAUCUUAGUUGCCAGCAUUCAGUUGGGCACUCUAAGGUGACUGCCGGUGACAAACCGGAGGAAGGUGGGGAUGACGUCAAAUCAUCAUGCCCCUUAUGACCUGGGCUACACACGUGCUACAAUGGGCAGAACAAAGGGCAGCGAAGCCGCGAGGCUAAGCCAAUCCCACAAAUCUGUUCUCAGUUCGGAUCGCAGUCUGCAACUCGACUGCGUGAAGCUGGAAUCGCUAGUAAUCGCGGAUCAGCAUGCCGCGGU
rnacentral:rRNA from 1 species